CCUACGGGAGGCUGCAGUGAGGAAUAUUGGUCAAUGGGCGAGAGCCUGAACCAGCCAAGUCGCGUGAGGGAGUACUGCCCUAUGGGUUGUAAACCUCUUUUGUCGGGGAGCAAAAGCCGGACGUGUCCGGCUGUGAGAGUACCCGAAGAAAAAGCAUCGGCUAACUCCGUGCCAGCAGCCGCGGUAAUACGGAGGAUGCGGGCGGUAUCCGGAUUUAUUGGGUUUAAAGGGGGCGCAGGCGGAUUUUUAAGUCAGCGGUAAAAUCGUGGGGCUCAACCCCAUCCAGCCGUUGAAACUGGGGAUCUAGAGUGUGCGAGAGGGAUGCGGAAUGCGUGGUGUAGCGGUGAAAUGCAUUGAUAUCACGCAGAACCCCGAUUGCGAAGGCAGCAUACCGGUGCACAACUGACGCUCAGGCACGAAAGCGUGGGUAUCGAACAGGAUUAGAUACCCUAGUAGUC
rnacentral:rRNA from 1 species